rnacentral:rRNA from 1 species
UACGUAGGGGGCGAGCGUUGUCCGGAUUUAUUGGGCGUAAAGAGCUCGUAGGCGGUUUGGUAAGUCGGGUGUGAAAUCUCCACGCUCAACGUGGAGGGGCCACUCGAUACUGCUGUGACUUGAGUUCGGUAGGGGAGUGGGGAAUUCCUAGUGUAGCGGUGAAAUGCGCAGAUAUUAGGAGGAACACCGGUGGCGAAGGCGCCACUCUGGGCCGAAACUGGACGCUGAGGAGCGGAAAGCGUGGGUAGCAAACGAG